GAGGCCCAGUUGAUCUGCCUUGUAAAUCAGCCUCCGCCCCCACCCGAAGUGGGGGCUGCUACGGCUGUUUCUGCCCAAGGGGCUGGGCUCCCCUCCUGGGAGUCCCUCCCCACCCCCUGCCUCAGCACUUCCUGCUCUGGGCUUCCCUCUCUGGGCUGCUGUGAAUGGAGGGGCAGGCUAUGAGUUUUGGAAGUGUUGGAACUAGGAUCCCUGUCACAAAGGUAGUCGUCUUUGCUCAGAUUUACCCCAGUGGCUGGACGAAAGUGAUAUAUCAUGAAGGACAGUGGGAGAUGCCGUUACUGAGCCUCGGGCUGAGGGCCCUAGGGAAACCACGGCCUCUUGGUUGUGUGACUAGCAGGAAGCUAGUCAUUAUGGGAAUAUUUGGAGAGAAUUGGGACCAAAUGCAACCUUCUCUGCUGGAGCAACAGCCCAAACCCACAAGGGAGUGCGUGAACUGGAGAGCAUUUGCUAGAUAUCAGCCAGGGUGCAGGAGACAUGCAACAUGUUGUUGGAGCAGGAGAGAAAGCACCGGCAUCCAGAAGCUCUACCUGCAUAAGGGCGGCUCUUAUUCUCUGGGUCCCAGAUGCCAGAAAUAGAGAUGACCUUGGGGCUGGGAGUGUAUGGGGAGGGUCUCCUUUCAGAGAAAACACUUCUAAAGUGGGAGUAUAUCAGGACAAAACUGAGAAAGAAAUUAUCAAUGAUAUGGCCACAACCCAGAAUGCCUCCAUAGACAGUGGUGGUUUGAAUGAGAUUGCCCUCAUGGGUCUGUAUAUUUGCAUGCUUAGUCCUCAGUUGCUGAACUGUUUGGAAGGAUCUGGAGGUAUGUCCUUGUUGGAGUAGGUGUGUCCUUGCUGGAGUGGGUGUGGCCUUGUUGGAGUGGGUGUGGCCCUGCUGGAGUGGGUGUGGCCUUGUUAGAGGAAGUAUGUCCCUGGAGUUGGGUUUAGGUUUCAAAGCCUGUUUCUCUCUCUCUCUCUCUCUCUCUCUCUCUCUCUCUCUCUCUCUCUCUCUCUCUCUCUCUCUCUCUCUCUCUCUCUCUCUCUCUCUCUCCCCCUUCUCUCUUCCUGCCAAUCUGUGGAUCAUGUAGUAAAACUCUCAGCUACUGCUCUAGCACCAUGCUCCCACCAUGAUGAUAAUGGACUAAACCUCUAAAACUGUAAGAAAGUCCCCAAUUAAAUGAUUUCCUUUGUAAGAGUUGCCUUGGUUAUGGUGUCUCUUCACAGCAAUGGAAUAGUAACUUAAACAGGGGGCUCUGGGGCUGGGAUGUCCGUGCGAAGCGACCCUCUACUGAAUAAAGAGUUCUGUACCUUUGAGAUGGGUCUUGAAGCUGGGUAAGGCAGUUCUGUUUGGCAGCUGAAGGAAGUCUCUAGGGGAAACUCAGUCACCAGCCCCUAGCAGCCAACACUCCCGAGAACUUAGUCCUAAAGACAAGACCAAGGGUCCACCUGCAGCGUCUCCCUUCUCAGAGUAAGUCCCUUCUACAAGGACUAACUCCUUCACAGUGCUGGCAUUUUCCUCUGGGAAACUUACAACAUUUAAAUGGAUGAGCUAAUGGUCCCACCACCACAGUCAACCUUAGUGUCACAACAGAUAUUUCUUUCCCAUCUCUGUCCUCUAUUGUCCAUUUCGAGUUUUUACCUUCAGUGUGACUGCUGCCUGUCUAGAUGGGUUACCUUUCCAACCAUGCAUAUACCUAGCUUGCAUCAAAAUCAGGCAAGGGCAUACCAAGAGGCAGCACGGUGGAUCCCCCGGAUGCCAAGUACAGUUUCCUUACUCUGUUACAUGAUGGCAGUCUGCUGGAAGUGGUGCACAUGCCUCUGAUCUCUGUAAGUUCGAGGCCAGCCUGAUCUAUAGAGCAAGUUCAGGGCAGCCAGAGCUACAGAGAGAAACCCUAUCUCUAAUAACCAAACCAAAACAAACCACAACCCCACACAAUGGUAGUCCUUUCUUCCAAAGCACAAGGGUCAGUUACACCUGCCAGUAAGUGACUCCUGAUCUUGCUUACUGAUUGAUUUCUACAAGGAUUCUGGAUAGAAAGCAGCACAUUUUAUAGGGGUGCUAUUCUAUUCCUUUGGGGGAACUCUUCCUCACUCUGAAGCCAAGUUCUGAACCCUGGGGGUUCCUACUUAGAACUGAAGGAACACAGGGAAUGGUAGGUAAAUGACGUCAGUCUUAUUUCCAUCUCUGGUUUCUUAAGAUUUUAUGCUGGGCCAUGGUAGCAUAUAAUAGAUAUUAAUUAGGGUGUACACAUCCUCUGGAUUGCAGAGGCCCAUCUUCUUAGCACUUUAACUGCACUCCAGAGAGGCUGGCCCAUUCUUGUCUCAGCUCUGUGCAAUCUGUAGCCUCAGAGGAGUGAGUUGUCCAAGAGGCCAGAAGACUCUGUGAUCAUCCACCUUCUUUUGCUAUAGAGCACCAUUCUGUGAGACCCCUUGUCAGCAAGUGAAUAAUUUCUUUUUUUUUUCCUUUUUUUUUUUUUUUUUGGAGCUGGGGACCGAACCCAGGGCCUUGCACUUGCUAGGCAAGCGCUCUACCACUGAGCUAAAUCCCCAACCCCAAGUGAAUGCUUUCUAAGCAUCCCAGAAGUGAUCUGAAUUUCAGGUGGAAAGCCAACCCCAUAUCCAGAAAACAUUCCAGUUUGAGUCAAGUGACACACCAGUGCUUCUAGAGCAAAACAGGUGCAACAAUCAACUUGUUACCUCAUGGCCAUUUGGUUCUGGAAGGUAGUAGAUAAGUCUGUUUUGCUGUGUGUUGUGACAGCAUUGUGGCUCCCAUCCAGACAGACCACACCAGGCCAAUGCAGCUCCAUGCACGAGAGGUUUAUAGUGAGGGAAGGGAACAAAGGGGGCGGGCGGCAGAGACAAAGGGGGAAAAGAGAGAAGAAGGGGCAAAGGUCAGAAAGGGUCUGUCUUUUAUUUAGGCUGCGAUGUGACAUCACCGCUCGCUGGUAAAGUGGGAGGUAAACCAAAUGGAUGCUGGGAGUGUAUGGCAUUGUCGUGGCAACAGAUGCAUAGGUCCCUAUCGACUAUGAGUGAUGUCACCAUCAUCGCUGGGUUCAGAGGUGAACUGUAAAGCCGGAUCCUGGUGCCAACAGUAUGGGAGUCCAUUCUGGUGGACCACCCCUACCAUCGCUUACAAGCCUGUACAUAACCUCCAUCUAGGCCAACAGGGCUGUUCAUAUGACUGCUGAGUCAGACAUGGAGGUCAUUCUAUCUACUUGGUUGUUGAAUAUCUCCUUUGUGGUGGGUUCUUCUGAGCGGACAUUAACAUUACGCACUUUCCCAUUUCAUACCUGUCUCCACAGAUGGACGCCUCCCCAAUCCCUAGACUUCCUUGCUCUUCAUCUGCAUUUGCUGCGGCUCCUGUGCCUGAACAGACACUCAGGGUAGGCCUCUAUACUGGAUGGCCGUGAUGAUGAUGUAAUCUCCUGUCAGGUAGCAGCAUUACUUGGAUGCUGUGUCUAGCAUUUAGCUUUCCUGCUUGCCCCAGUAUUCAAGUAUUCAGUGUUCAAACAGUGAUGGGUACCUCCGAAGAAGUGGGGAAAUCAUGAUAGCAUUGUCAGAGUGCUUUGGGAGAGCCUUCCUCUUGGAAAGGGGACCUCUAAGCCAAUGUUUCAGUCAGUGCUGUAUUGCUGUGGAAAGGCACCGUGACCACAACAAUCUUCCAGAGAGGGAGCAUUUAAUCGGGGCUGGCUCACAGUCUCUGUGGUUUAGUCCAUUGUUAUCCUGAUGGGAGCAUGGUGGCAUGCACAGGAUAGCUAAUCUGCUGACCUGUUCUCAUUCUUUGACUUGUUCUGUCUUUACCUGUCUCUGUAAAACACAGGGAGCACACUGUGAACCCUGAGAUUGUAUUAUUUACUGAAGAAGGAAAAAAAACCCUGUUUCUAGUUGUGGUGUGGUUCACCUUUAGCACACGCCUUUAAUCCCUCUGCUGGAAUAAGAUGUGCCCUAGUAUACACAUUUAAUCCCCACAACGAAGGUAAAGUCAGUUUGUAGAAGGAAGCGCCUGUGUUUGAAAGUGAUGUCUGAUUGAGUGGACAGACAAACUGACGAAUCAGAGGAAGAUUUGACAGAAUAGGAUCUUCCCAACUCUCAUGAGAAGACAGAGGAAAGGGAUGUUACUUAAGAGAAUGGUGCAGAGAAAGGAAGGAGGGAGGAGGUGGCUUUACCAGGAAAGUUUUACAGAGACAGGUGAAGACAGAACAAGCUAGAGAAUGAGAAGGAGCCAGAAGAUUAGAACAUACUGUCAGUUAGUAUGAAGCCAAGCAGAGCAAUUCAGGAGAGGCCAAAAGAAAGAAGCCAGAUUGAGUCAAGUCAGUGUGGAGAGGAACCCCGACGGCUGAGCUGAACCAGUCAGCCAGAGUUCAGAAAGAGCUGGACAGGGCAAGCUUACUCAGCAGUAAGUCUCAGAGGCUGAAAACAUUAUAGGCCUAGAUAAGAGUGUAGGAGACUAGAAGCUUCCAGGACUAAGCCUAAGUUAGCAGAUGGAUGCAGUAGGCCUUGGGGAAGACAAUUACUUCAGGAAAAUAAAAGUUACUUUUAUAGCGGCAGGCAAGCAGACAUGGUGCUGGACAAGUAGCUGAGAGUUCUCUCUGCACCCAAAUCCCGUGGGAGGGAGAGCUAAACCUUCAGAGAGGCAGACAAGCCUGGGAAACCAGAAGAGACUGCUCUCUGCACACACAUCUCGGACGCCAGAGGAAAAAGCCAAAGACCAUCUGGAACCCUGGUGCACUGAAGUUCCCGGAAGGGGCGGCACAGGUCUUCCUGGUUGCUGCCGCUGCAGAGAGCCCGUGGGCAGCACCCCACGAGCGAACUUGAGCCUCGGGACCACAGGUAAGACCAACUUUUCUACUGCAAGAAAGCUGCCUGGUGAACUCAAGACACAGGCCCACAGGAACAGCUGAAGACCUGUAGAGAGGAAAAACUACACGCCCGAAAGCAGAACACUCUGUCCUCAUAACUGACUGAAAGAGAGGAAAACAGGUCUACAGCACUCCUGACACACAGGCUUAUAGGACAGUCUAGCCACUGUCAGAAAUAGCAGAACAAAGUAACACUAGAGAUAAUCUGAUGGCGAGAGGCAAGCGCAGGAACCCA